rnacentral:sRNA from 1 species
CUAAGUCCGGGCAGCCGAAGAGUGUGGUAGGUAACGGUCGUCAGCGCAAGGGUCAUUUCGUCGCUGGGAAGGGACGGCCCUCGCCCGCGGUGAUGGUGGUUAGCAAGAUGAACAAAGAUGCGCAGAUGAGAGCAGCGAUUAACCAAAAGUUGAUAGAAACUGGAGAAAGAGAACGCCUCAAAGAGUUGCUGAGAGCUAAAUUAAUUGAAUGUGGCUGGAAGGAUCAGUUGAAGGCACACUGUAAAGAGGUAAUUAAAGAAAAAGGACUAGAACACGUUACUGUUGAUGACUUGGUGGCUGAAAUCACUCCAAAAGGCAGAGGUAAGGAAUACAGAGUGUGUUAAAGGAAACAUGCUGCAGACAUGAUUUUUUAAAAAUCUCUUGCUGAUUCAGAUUUUCUUUCUGUUUUUAAGGAAAAGCACUACCUGUGUUGCCUCUUGUAAAGAGUUAAAAUUGCCUACCUGCCUCCUAGCAUAGUCUGGGAGUAACAAAUGAGAUACUAGGUUUUAGUGUUCUUGUACUCUAGAACAGUGCACCAAUGCAAGUUGAUACAGUUGUUCAAGCAA